GCCCAGGGCUACACACGUGCUACAAUGGGACGUACAAAGGGCUGACACUUAGCGAUAAGGAGCCAAUCCUAAAAAACACCUCUCAGUUCAGAUUGGAGUCUGCAGCUCGACUCCAUGAAGCUGGAAUCGCUAGUAAUCGUAGAUCAGCAAUGCUACGGUGAAUACGUUCCCGGACCUUGCACACACCACCCGUCAAGCCAUGGAAGCUGGGUGUACCUAAAGUCAGUAACCGCAAGGAGCUGCCUAGGGUAAAACUAGUAACUGGGGCUAAGUCGUAACAAGGUAACC
rnacentral:rRNA from 1 species